UAAAGUAAUGGCAUGGCGAAGUGGCAAUAAAACAUUUGACGAAUAUUAUUGUGACCAUAAAAAUGACGUUAGCAUUUUGAAAUAUUCAGUUGCUGAAGCGAACGAGAAAUGUGGUGACAUUAUAUUUUCAAUGAAAAGAUGUUCAUAAACGUGAUACACAUCGCAACGAUUUCUAUAAUUUUAAAAUCUGCGACUGCGCCGCUCGUAAAAGAAACCCAAACACAGAUCAAAGACUUAGAAAAACGGAAAAACGAACUCUUCCGACAAAUAAAUGAAGCUAUCGAUGACAGCGCUAAGAUUCUAAAGUUUUCAAAUGAUACCGAUUCAAAACUUACCUUAAAUUACAUGGAAGAAUUGAGAAGACAAAUAAGAGAACUAAAUGCAACAGAAGAUAAUGAUGACAAAAGAAUAGAAAAUGAAAUUGAAGAUGGUACUAUGUCAGAAGUUGAUAAGAAAUAUGAUAACUCAACUGAUGUCAGACGAUACGGUUCACUAACGAGCAAUAGGAACCCUAAAAUUAAAUUAGACUUGGCUGAUGUAGUUGAAUUACUAAAGAAAAGAGGCGACACCUCGAUGGUGAAAAAAACAAAAGAAGAAAUUGCAAAUCAAAUACGAAUUGAGAGUAAGCUGUAUUUGUGGAUGAUUGAGAAGCAGAAAGAAAGGGAGCUGAUAGAAGAUUACAGAUAUAAACAGAGACUGCCACGGAUGAAAUUUGAGAGAUGUCCCGCACAGGGCCUCGGUAAGCAGAAAAAGAAAAAGUCUAGGAGGACAGAUGUUAAUAGAACAGAAGAUGGCCAACCAGGAUGUAACCAUACACGCGAUUAUAAGACAACAACAAAAAAAGAAGAAAAAGAAAAGACUACUGCUACACGUAAAAGUCGCAAGAAGUUAUACCCAUGUUGCAGAAAGUGCUGUAAAAGGUCCUACAUGGGAUGUUUGUAGUUAUUUUUAUUUUAGAUAUUUGUAAUAAAUUCAAUGAAGUAUCUUAA